GUUGUGCUGGGUGAGUUUCCUGAGCCAGACGCACUGAAACACAUAUUCGUGAAACACAAAUAAAACACUAGCCGGCUAUCUUAUUUCGGCUAGACUUUACCAAGAUAGCUUCCGCUCCGACUGUCUACCACACAAUAAACACAUUGUGUACGAAUCUGCUGCAAUUAUCUGUUAUGCAAAACAUGACAUUUUUGAGCAUACUUUGUUUCAGUUGGGGUUAUGACGUAAGUCUCUAUGGCAGAGCCUGGGAAUCCUCCUUGACCAGCAGUGAUGCUCACGGUACAUUUUCAUCCACAAAGACAAGUUAAUCAAUCUCUUUACAGCUCUGCACAAAUAGCCACAUUUCAAACACGAAGUAUUUCAGUGACAUCAGGCAACUCGUGGAUCUUAAUCUCAUCCUCGGCUCACCACGAGGCUCGGCCGCAUCUGCAGCAACCGGCCCUCGGCUCCCUACAUCCGACCGCCGGGCGCAUAGGGCGCAGGGGAGAGGAAAGAGGAGCGGCAGGGACGGCACCUGGCCCGCUCUCUAACGACAAAGCAGCGCGGCGACAGGCGGCCCGCAGACGCCACAUUUCCUUUCCUGUCUCACUUCCGGCGCGGACCCCCACGAACAACAGACACCCAGAUACUCCCGGGCCCAGGGCGCGCGCAGACACAGGCCCGCGUGCGCGCCCCCGGAGGGCCGUGAGCGCGCGGACGCACGCAGCCGACCAAUCAUGAAGGCCGCGGGGGGACCGGCGUGAGACGCGCCACCUGACGUCACUUCCUCGGAGCAGGCAACUACUUCCCAGGCUCCUGCCCUCUCCCCCGGAAGCCGUGACUGCAGCGGAGGGCAGCGUGGUUCGCGUUCCUUUGGCAUCCGAAAGGCUACCAAAGAGCAGCCGCGCCACAGCCGCAGCGCCAUAAUUACCAAGCCGCGGGGCCGCUGGGAAACGCCACGGUGCGGUCAAACAGCCUUUCUGAAGUGCCCGCUGCUCCACGCCGCAGUCCUCCUCCAGAAACUUCAACUCCCAGAGGCGGUGGCUGCACGCCUGGUUACGCACUUACGCGUUACGUCAUCGGCCUGCGCCAAUUACAUACUUAAGUUGGGGAAGGGGCGGUGCUUCUAGAGGGCGGGGUCAAGGCCUGGGUUUUGUUGAAUAGCGUGUAGCCAGAACGAGGUGUUUUUCUGUUGGCAGGCGCUGUAUUGGUACUCGUUCGCGUUUUGUUCUUGUAGAAGCUCGGGUCGCGAGAGGAGGAAAGCCCCACUUUUAAAAAUUAAAAUACGAAGCAGACGAAAUUUUUUUUUUUUGGUGUUGAGAAGAUGAUCUAUUGCCCAAAUAAUUUCUAAUUUAUGUAAGAAGCAGUUGCCAGUAUCACAUAAGUUUUCCUAACUGGAAAAAAAUUGAAAGAGAAGUUCUUAGUAAAAAAGCAUUCAAAUUGGAAAUUUUAAGGGUUUUUUUUUAUCCUUAUUAAAAACAAACACAUUACACUCCAUUCUUUGAGGUUUUCCUAUGCUAUUUUGUGAAACACUAGUGAUAUUUCAUCGUUUGUAACAUUUGACCUUAUAUAAUCUUUUUGCUAAAUAUAGACCAAGUCAACCAAGAAGAAAAAGCAGUUAUGCAGAUUGACC